rnacentral:rRNA from 1 species
CUACGGGUGGCUCCAGCGGGGAAUAUUGGACAAUGGGGGAAACCCUGAUCCAGCAAUGCCGCGUGUGUGAAGAAGGCCUGCGGGUUGUAAAGCACUUUCGGUUGGGAGGACUGCUUCUAGCACUAAUAUUGUUGGAAGUUGACGUUACCUUCAGAAGAAGCACCGGCUAACUCCGUGCCAGCAGCCGCGGGUAAUACGGAGGGUGCAAGCGUUAAUCGGAAUUACUGGGCGUAAAGCGCGCGUAGGCGGCUAGAUCAGUCGGGUGUGAAAGCCCCGGGCUUAACCUGGGAACUGCAUCCGAUACUGUCUAGCUUGAGUACAGGAGAGGAGAGUGGAAUUCCACAUGUAGCGGUGAAAUGCGUAGAUAUGUGGAGGAACACCAAUGGCGAAGGCAGCUCUCUGGCCUGAUACUGACGCUGAGGUGCGAAAGCGUGGGGAGCAAACAGGAUUAGAUACCCGCGUAGUC